UUUAUUUCCAAAGCAUUCAAAGAACACAUCCUGCUGAAUGAGUCUUCCAGUUUGGCUUCUGCACUCUGAGGAAAGCAUCUACUCACAUCUCUAUAAACCAAAUGUGGUCCUGAAAAAGGAACUCCUUUCUGCCGACUCCCAGAGGAAAGUUUACAUCUGGCUUGAGCUCGGGGAAAGAUAAUUUCAUGCUGCUGGAAGAUGUUACAUUGACAGCCGAGAGAUAAUUUCCGUUUUUAAUCCAGAGAACAAGAGCCACUUGGGAAGUGACUAUAAAUGUCCUCUGGGUGUCCCAGAGAUAUGCCUCAUCCCUGCGCUAGAAGGAACACACCUCUGGGAAGGAAACAACUUUGAUCACAUAACUGUGUCUUCAACGGCACUUCAUUUUUUCCAUCCUUAAAUAGAUCAUAGUUUUUAAACAACUUGUGGUAAAAAUCUGCUGGAAAAGAUAACAACAGCACACGAUGUGGCCGAGUUACACAGAAGAAAUCGGGACACUUCCAGAGAAACCUUGGACAGUUAAUUACACGGGCUGAUUACGUUUUAAAGGUUGAGUAAGCAGCACCGUCCACGACAGUAGAUGUUUGUGGAAAAAUAAAGCCCAGAUUACACACCUUGAAUUUGUGUGAAAGUCGCAAAAGGAAACACAAAUAGACUCAAGGUGAAAAAUACACCCAAAGGGCAGAAAACAACUGAACGUUUUUUCACUGACUCUAACGCAUCUGAAAGCACCCAAGUUUACCCAAGUUGCAAAACAGAGUCACUUUGGCACUGACUUAUUUAUCUACCAAUAACAGAAGCUGAACCACCUCAUUGUGGCAACCCGUGGAGCACUGAAAAGGGCUAAGUGGUGGUGUUUCUGCCGGUGCCCAUUCUUCCCCCUUGGAAGCUUUCGGCAUUCAGCUGCUAAGCCUUCUCUGAUGUGCGUACAGAUCCAAACUACUUACAGCUAUAAGACAAGGUAAUCAUUUGCACCUUAUCUUUCCUCUGGGGUGUAGUUUAUUAAGUGAGUCUUUGUAGUAGAGAGGUGGGGUGGGCAGAGCAAGUCAUGGCAAUUCGGGUUUAUUUCAAAGCCUGCUCUUUUGGAGUCGCUGGAUUUCAGUGAUGAACUGAAUCACUGAAGUUCAGUGGUGAAUUUACAUGAUGGAUGAUAUUUUACCCCUUUUGACAAAUUUGCACUUUUGGUAAAUCCAGCCAUGGGGAUCUUUCAAAAAGGAAAGGUUUGGACUCAGGUUUCCAGGAGAAAUUGAGAUGUUUAGAGAAAGUACCACUCAUAACUAAUCUCUAUCCCAGCAGUGAGCCAUGCAGCAGGACGGCUCAGAAUACUUGUGCUCAAACUUUGAACCAGAAAGAUCCUAUAAGUAAAUAAAAUAAGAUUCAGGACUAUUAAGUGCAACCAAAAGUAAGCAAAAAUGAUUUUCUACAUUAUUAGACAGCCCAGCAAUUAUAUUUAUGUUUUCUGACAUACUGAAUGUCUCAUAUUUCAUUAUCUUUAUCAUUAAAAUUUUUUUAGAAAUGUUUAUUUUUGAGAGAGAGGGAGAGAGAGAGAGACAGACAGACAGAGCAUGAGUGGGGGAGGGGCAGAGAG